CCUACGGGUGGCAGCAGUGAGGAAUAUUGGUCAAUGGGCGCGAGCCUGAACCAGCCAAGUCGCGUGAGGGAAGACGGUCCUAUGGAUUGUAAACCUCUUUUGUCGGGGAGCAAAAGACGCCACGCGUGGCGUUCCGAGAGUACCCGAAGAAAAAGCAUCGGCUAACUCCGUGCCAGCAGCCGCGGUAAUACGGAGGAUGCGAGCGUUAUCCGGAUUUAUUGGGUUUAAAGGGUGCGCAGGCGGAAGAUCAAGUCAGCGGUAAAAUUGAGAGGCUCAACCGCGGAACUGCAUUUGAAACUGUUUUUCUUGAGUAUCGGAGAGGUAAUCGGAAUUCCUAGUGUAGCGGUGAAAUGCGUAGAUAUUAGGAAGAACACCAGUGGCGAAGGCGGAUUACUGGACGACAACUGACGGUGAGGCUCGAAAGCGUGGGGAGCAAACAGGAUUAGAUACCCCAGUAGUC
rnacentral:rRNA from 1 species